rnacentral:rRNA from 1 species
AGAGUUUGAUCCUGGCUCAGGAUGAACGCUAGCGGCAGGCUUAACACAUGCAAGUCGAGGGGUAACGAUGGUGCUUGCACCAGGCGACGACCGGCGCACGGGUGAGUAACGCGUAUGCAACCUACCUAUAACUGGGGGAUAGCCCGAAGAAAUUCGGAUUAAUACCCCAUAAUAUCACAAUUUCUCAUGAAAUUGUGAUUAAAACUCCGGUGGUUAUAGAUGGGCAUGCGUACCAUUAGUUUGUUGGUGAGGUAACGGCUCACCAAGACUACGAUGGUUAGGGGGUCUGAGAGGAUGAUCCCCCACACUGGUACUGAGACACGGACCAGACUCCUACGGGAGGCAGCAGUGAGGAAUAUUGGUCAAUGGGCGAAAGCCUGAACCAGCCAUGCCGCGUGCAGGAUGAAUGCCCUAUGGGUUGUAAACUGCUUUUCUGUAAGAAGAAACCCCUUUACGUGUAGAGGGUUGACGGUAUUACAGGAAUAAGCAUCGGCUAACUCCGUGCCAGCAGCCGCGGUAAUACGGAGGAUGCAAGCGUUAUCCGGAUUCAUUGGGUUUAAAGGGUGCGUAGGCGGAAUAAUAAGUCAGUGGUGAAAUCCUACAGCUUAACUGUAGAACUGCCAUUGAUACUGUUAUUCUUGAGUAUGGUUGAGGUAGGCGGAAUGUGCAGUGUAGCGGUGAAAUGCGUAGAUAUUGCACAGAACACCAAUUGCGUAGGCAGCUUACUAAGCCAUCACUGACGCUGAGGCACGAAAGCGGGGGAGCGAACAGGAUUAGAUACCCUGGUAGUCCACGCCGUAAACUAUGAUCACUCGUUGUUGGCGAUACACAGUCAGCGACUGAGCGAAAGCAUUAAGUGAUCCACCUGGGGAGUACGAUCGCAAGGUUGAAACUCAAAGGAAUUGACGGGGGCCCGCACAAGCGGUGGAACAUGUGGUUUAAUUCGAUGAUACGCGAGGAACCUUACCUGGGCUUAAAUGCAGGACGCUUUUUCCCGAAAGGGAUUUUUCUUCGGACGGCUUGCAAGGUGCUGCAUGGUUGUCGUCAGCUCGUGCCGUGAGGUGUCGGGUUAAGUCCCAUAACGAGCGCAACCCCUAUCGUUAGUUGCCAGCGAGUAAUGUCGGGGACUCUAACGAAACUGCCGGUGUAAACCGUGAGGAAGGUGGGGAUGACGUCAAAUCAGCACGGCCCUUAUGUCCAGGGCUACACACGUGUUACAAUGGUUGGUACAAAGAGCAGCUACUAUGUGAAUAGAUGCUAAUCUCAAAAACCAAUCUCAGUUCGGAUUGAAGUCUGCAACUCGACUUCAUGAAGUUGGAAUCGCUAGUAAUCGCGCAUCAGCCAUGGCGCGGUGAAUACGUUCCCGGGCCUUGUACACACCGCCCGUCAAGCCAUGGAGGCUUGGGGUACCUGAAGUCUGUAACCGCAAGGAGCGGCCUAAGGUAAAACAAGUAACUGGGGCUAAGUCGUAACAAGGUA